GUGCUCGUGUCAGCAGCACAACACUAAAAUUAGAAUGAUACAGAGAAGAUUAGUGGGGCCCCUGCGCAAGGAUGACACGCAAAUUUGUGAAGUGUUCCCUUUCUUU